GAUGAACGCUGGCGGCGUGCCUAAUACAUGCAAGUCGAGCGAACAGACGAGGAGCUUGCUCCUCUGACGUUAGCGGCGGACGGGUGAGUAACACGUGGAUAACCUACCUAUAAGACUGGGAUAACUUCGGGAAACCGGAGCUAAUACCGGAUAAUAUAUUGAACCGCAUGGUUCAAUAGUGAAAGACGGUUUUGCUGUCACUUAUAGAUGGAUCCGCGCCGCAUUAGCUAGUUGGUAAGGUAACGGCUUACCAAGGCAACGAUGCGUAGCCGACCUGAGAGGGUGAUCGGCCACACUGGAACUGAGACACGGUCCAGACUCCUACGGGAGGCAGCAGUAGGGAAUCUUCCGCAAUGGGCGAAAGCUUGACGGAGCAACGCCGCGUGAGUGAUGAAGGUCUUCGGAUCGUAAAACUCUGUUAUUAGGGAAAAACAAAUGUGUAAGUAACUAUGCACGUCUUGACGGUACCUAAUCAGAAAGCCACGGCUAACUACGUG
rnacentral:rRNA from 1 species